UACAGAGGGGGCAAGCGUUGUUCGGAAUUACUGGGCGUAAAGGGCGCGUAGGCGGCCCGCUAAGUCGAACGUGAAAUCCCCGAGCUCAACUCGGGAACUGCGUCCGAUACUGGCGGGCUUGAAUCCGGGAGAGGGAUGCAGAAUUCCAGGUGUAGCGGUGAAAUGCGUAGAUAUAGGAAGGAACACCAGUGGCGAAGGCGACCACCUGGACUGAUACUGACACUGAGGUGCGAAAGCGUGGGGAGCAAACAGG
rnacentral:rRNA from 1 species